UACGUAGGGUGCGAGCGUUGUCCGGAAUCAUUGGGCGUAAAGAGCGUGUAGGCGGCUUGGUAAGUCCGCUGUGAAAGUCCAGGGCUCAACCCUGGAAAGCCGGUGGAAACUGUCAAGCUUGAGUCCGGAAGAGGCGAGUGGAAUUCCUGGUGUAGCGGUGAAAUGCGCAGAUAUCAGGAGGAACACCAAUGGCGAAGGCAGCUCGCUGGGACGGUACUGACGCUGAGACGCGAAAGCGUGGGGAGCAAACAGG
rnacentral:rRNA from 1 species